rnacentral:rRNA from 1 species
AAUACGUUCCCGGACCUUGCACACACCGCCCGUCAAGCCAUGGAAGCCGGGUGUACCUAAAGUCGAUAACCGCUGAGGAGUCGCCUAGGGUAAAACUGGUAACUGGGGCU